rnacentral:rRNA from 1 species
GACGAACGCUGGCGGCGUGCUUAACACAUGCAAGUCGAACGAUGAAGCGCCAGCUUGCUGGUGUGGAUUAGUGGCGAACGGGUGAGUAACACGUGAGUAACCUGCCCCCUACUCUGGGAUAAGCCUGGGAAACUGGGUCUAAUACUGGAUAUGACCAAUCACUGCAUGGUGUGUUGGUGGAAAGAUUUUUUGGUGGGGGAUGGACUCGCGGCCUAUCAGCUUGUUGGUGGGGUAAUGGCCUACCAAGGCGACGACGGGUAGCCGGCCUGAGAGGGCGACCGGCCACACUGGGACUGAGACACGGCCCAGACUCCUACGGGAGGCAGCAGUGGGGAAUAUUGCACAAUGGGCGAAAGCCUGAUGCAGCGACGCCGCGUGAGGGAUGACGGCCUUCGGGUUGUAAACCUCUUUCACCAGGGACGAAGCUAACGUGACGGUACCUGGAGAAGAAGCACCGGCUAACUACGUGC